rnacentral:snoRNA from 1 species
GUGCAAGUGAUGUAAACUAAUAUGAUCUGAAUGUCUGUGAUGCAUUCAAAGGAACCACUGAUGCCAC